rnacentral:rRNA from 1 species
CCUACGGGAGGCAGCAGUGAGGAAUAUUGGUCAAUGGGCGGGAGCCUGAACCAGCCAAGUCGCGUGAGGGACGACGGCCCUAUGGAUUGUAAACCUCUUUUGUCGGGGAACAAAGGCGCCCACGGGUGGGCGGAUGAGUGUAACCGAAGAAAAAGCAUCGGCUAACUCCGUGCCAGCCGCCGCAGUAAUACGGUGGAUGAGAGUGUUAGCCGGAUUUUUGGGGUUUAAGGGGUGGGUAGGGGGAAAGUAAAGUCAUCGGUAAAAAUGCGGUGCUAAACGCCGUACCGCCGUUGAAACUGGCAGUCUUGAGUGGGCGAGAAGUAUGCGGAAUGCGUGGUGUAGCGGUGAAAUGCAUAGAUAUCACGCAGAACUCCGAUUGCGAAGGCAGCAUACCGGCGCCCUACUGACGCUGAGGCACGAAAGCGUGGGUAUCGAACAGGAUUAGAUACCCUUGUAGUC